CUUGGGCCGCGGGCGGGGAAUCGUCCCCGCCCCCCGCCUGACCUCCGGCCGUAGCGUGUAUGUCCGCGCCGCGGCAGCUCGGCUAGCUGCGAGCGUUUAAAGCCAGUGGCGGUGGACGCAGAACCGCCUUUGGCCGGCGCCGGUUAUGAGCUCGGACGCGGCGCUGGUGCGGGGAGAAAUGCGGGAAAGGGUGGAUAGGAGGCCGGCACCAGUCCCUUCGCAGCUAGCGUCUCCCGGGCGGCGCCGUCCCCAGAGGCGGGCGCGUCUCGGCGCAAACCUCACUUGCCGUACAUGUCGCACGCCAGGGUCUGCUGGCUCUGAGAUGCGGUCCUUCUCGGGCUCGGUGCCUUAACCAGCUGCGUUCCUUUGGGUGAUCGUGUCUCAGGGGAGCUGCGAAACGGGGCGCCUUUUUUUUUUUUUUUUUUAACUGGAGGCCGGCCAGAAAUAGGCUGAAAAGACCCCGGGAGGAAGAAACUCUUUAACAGCUAUCUUUAGCUUCUUAAGGUGAUUGAUUCUCAGAUGUCUACGUUUCAGAAAACCAACUGAGGAGCUUUUUCAAAGCAGAGAUACCAUGGCCACACCCCAGACCUGCAUCAGGAAGUGGGGGGAGAGGGCUGAUGGAUGUUGAAAAGUCGCUUCGGCGGAUUCCGAUGUGCGUCAGUUUGAGGAGCCACCACCGAUCUACCCAGUGUUGUGUCCUGAGAGUCCCAUGUAGUGUCCCGGCGCGAGUUGCGUUCCAAAUGCCCUAAUGAUAUCGAUGAUAGAAGCUUUCAGAAAGGUUUGUCUCUGUUUGAAAGCAAGUACCCAAGAUGUUUAUGCAGUGCAAGCGGCUGUUACAAUGUUAGGAUCACGAAGUGCUUUCGUCUUCUGACAGUGUUCCCAAGGAACUGGUAUUCUCUGAGCUCGCACAAGGCCUUAAAAAUAAGCCGCCUCAAAACAUUUGUCAUUUAUUCGCUCACAGAUACCGACCUCUUACUGUGUAGUAGGGGAGUGUUUUAGAGAUCACAGCAGAAAGCAAAGAUCUUUGCCUUGGAGGAGUUUGCAAUCUAACGGAGGAAGAUUGACAAUAAAUAUAUGCCAGGGAGUGAUAAAUACCAUGAAGACAAAAUAAGCAGAGUAGAAGAAAUCAGAAAUGACUGGGGAAGGCCUCUGUUGGUAGAUGAACAAGACUUGUGACUCUCUUGCAGAAGAGUAUUCCAGGCAGAGGAACACAUUGGUUUGACCUUCUCUUGUAAUUAAUACUUUUAUGAUGGUACAAAAUCAGAUUUGGGAAACCAAAGUUUAACAGAAGAAUCACAAUAAACUCAACGCUGCAUUACAGCUCGACGUGGGAUAAGGAGACCCUGGAACCCAAAGAACAGCGGUGAGAUUACAGGAGGCUGCAAGCAGAUGUGCCGCAAAGAUUUUCUACUGAAUCAGGAAGUCAUCUUUUAUACUCGUCAAUUCCUUACAAGUGGAGGGUUAGAACACAACUCUGGAGCUACACUACUGGAUCAAACACCUGGAUGACUUUCUAGCUAUAGAACUUCGACAAGUUUCUUCAGCACCCACUAUAAGUCUGUGUACGAGAAUGGCAGUACCUACUUCCUAGGGUUUCUGUGAGGAUCAAAUGAUUUUUGUAUUCACGUCAGUUCAC